UUUUCAAGGAAGAAGCAAGUGACGGUACUUGAAGAAUCAGCAUCGGCUAACUCCGUGCCAGCAGCCGCGGUAAUACGGAGGAUGCAAGCGUUAUCCGGAAUCAUUGGGCGUAAAGCGUCCGCAGGUGGCGUAUCAAGUCUGCUGUCAAAGACAGAAGCUCAACUUCUGGCAGGCAGUGGAAACUGGUAAGCUAGAGUACGGUAGGGGUUGAGGGAAUUCCCAGUGUAGCGGUGAAAUGCGUAGAUAUUGGGAAGAACACCAGUGGCGAAGGCGCUCAGCUGGGCCGUAACUGACACUGAGGGACGAAAGCUAGGGGAGCGAAAGGGAUUAGAUACCCCUGUAGUC
rnacentral:rRNA from 1 species